rnacentral:rRNA from 1 species
AACGAACGCUGGCGGCAUGCCUAACACAUGCAAGUCGAACGAGACCUUCGGGUCUAGUGGCGCACGGGUGCGUAACGCGUGGGAACCUGCCCUUAGGUUCGGAAUAACUCCCCGAAAGGGGUGCUAAUACCGGAUAAUGUCUUCGGACCAAAGAUUUAUCGCCUUUGGAUGGGCCCGCGUUGGAUUAGCUAGUUGGUAGGGUAAAAGCCUACCAAGGAGACGAUACAUAGCUGGUCUGAGAGGAUGAUCAGCCACACUGGGACUGAGACACGGCCCAGAAAACUACGGAACGAAGAAGGGCGUAAUAUUGUAGAAGGAGACAAAUUAUGAUAAAGCAAUGACCAGUGAGUAAACAAACAAUAAGAGUAGAAAAACCCCCUUAAAACACAGGAAAAUGACAGUACAGAAAAAAUAAGCACCGGCUAACUUCAUG